rnacentral:miRNA from 1 species
AUUAAAUGAAUGAAUCUAAAA